rnacentral:tRNA from 1 species
GGAGGUUUAGCUCAGUAGUAGAGCACUUGCCUAGCAAGCGCAAGGCCCUGGGUUCGGUCCCCAGCUCCG